rnacentral:rRNA from 1 species
ACGAACGCUGGCGGCGUGCUUAACACCUGCAAGUCGAACGGAAAGGCCCUGCUUGCAGGGUCCUCGAGUGGCGAACGGGUGAGUAACACGUGGGUGAUCUGCCCUGCACUUCGGGAUAGGCUUGGGAAACUGGGUCUAAUACCGGAUAGGAGCCAUCUUUAGUGUGGUGGUUGGAAAGUUUUUUCGGUGUAGGAUGAGCUCGCGGCCUAUCAGCUUGUUGGUGGGGUAAUGGCCUACCAAGGCGGCGACGGGUAGCCGGCCUGAGAGGGUGUACGGCCACAUUGGGGCUGAGAUACGGCCCAGACUCCUACGGGAGGCAGCAGUGGGGAAUAUUGCACAAUGGGCGCAAGCCUGAUGCAGCGACGCCGCGUGGGGGAUGAAGGCCUUCGGGUUGUAAACUCCUUUCGCUAGGGACGAAGCUUUUUUGUGACGGUACCUAGAUAAGAAGCACCGGCUAACUACGUG